rnacentral:rRNA from 1 species
AAUGAACGUUGGCGGCGUGGAUUAGGCAUGCAAGUCGUACGGGCCGCAAGGCCAGUGGCGCAAGGGUGAGUAAGGCGACGGUAACCAACCCCAGAGGUGGGUAUAGCCGCGGGAAACUGCGGGUAAUCCCCAGCGACGCGUGAGGCCGGCAUCGGUCUUCCGCCAAAGCUCCGGCGCUCUGGGACGGGCCGUCGUGGUAUUAGGUAGUUGGCGGGGUAACGGCCCACCAAGCCUGCGAUGCCUACCGGGCGUGCGAGCGUGGCCCGGCACACUGGGACUGAGACACUGCCCAGACUCCUACGGGAGGCUGCAGUCGAGAAUCUUCGGCAAUGGGCGCAAGCCUGACCGAGCGACGCCGCGUGGAGGAUGAAGGCCUUCGGGUUGUAAACUCCUGUCGAGGGGGAAGAAGCCGCAAGGUUGACUGAACCCUGGAGGAAGCACGGGCUAAGUUCGUGCCAGCAGCCGCAGUAAAAC